rnacentral:rRNA from 1 species
GAUGAACGCUAGCGGCAGGCUUAACACAUGCAAGUCGAGGGGUAACGAUGGUGCUUGCACCAGUCGACGACCGGCGCACGGGUGAGUAACGCGUAUGCAACCUGCCAUCCACUGGGGGAUAGCCCGGAGAAAUCCGGAUUAAUACCCCAUACAACCGUAAAGCCACAUGGUUUAACGGGAAAAGCUCUGGCGGUGGGUGAUGGGCAUGCGUGGCAUUAGUUAGUUGGUGGGGUAACGGCCCACCAAGGCGACGAUGCCUAGGGGGCCUGAGAGGGUAGUCCCCCACACUGGUACUGAGACACGGACCAGACUCCUACGGGAGGCAGCAGUGAGGAAUAUUGGUCAAUGGGCGCAAGCCUGAACCAGCCAUGCCGCGUGCAGGAUGACGGCCCUACGGGUUGUAAACUGCUUUUGCACGGGAAGAACCUCCCCGACGUGUCGGGGAUUGACUGUACCGUGAGAAUAAGCAUCGGCUAACUCCGUGCCAGCAGCCGCGGUAAUACGGAGGAUGCUAGCGUUAUCCGGAUUUAUUGGGUUUAAAGGGUGCGUAGGCUGGCGGAUAAGUCAGUGGUGAAAUCCUGCAGCUUAACUGUAGAAUUGCCAUUGAUACUGUUCGUCUUGAGUUCGGUUGAGGUAGGCGGAAUGUGUAAUGUAGCGGUGAAAUGCUUAGAUAUUACACAGAACACCGAUUGCGUAGGCAGCUUACUAAGCCGUUACUGACGCUGAAGCACGAAAGCGUGGGGAGCGAACAGGAUUAGAUACCCUGGUAGUCCACGCCGUAAACGAUGAUCACUAGCUGUUGGCGAUACAUUGUCAGCGGCAAAGCGAAAGCAUUAAGUGAUCCACCUGGGGAGUACGGCCGCAAGGUUGAAACUCAAAGGAAUUGACGGGGGCCCGCACAAGCGGUGGAACAUGUGGUUUAAUUCGAUGAUACGCGAGGAACACUUACCUGGGCUUAAAUGUUGGGUGCAUUCCCGGGAAACCGGGAUUCCCUUCGGGGCUUCCAACAAGGUGCUGCAUGGUUGUCGUCAGCUCGUGCCGUGAGGUGUCGGGUUAAGUCCCAUAACGAGCGCAACCCCUAUCGUUAGUUGCCAUCGGGUCAUGCCGGGGACUCUAGCGAAACUGCCGGUGUAAACCGCGAGGAAGGUGGGGAUGACGUCAAAUCAGCACGGCCCUUAUGUCCAGGGCUACACACGUGUUACAAUGGCCGGUACAGAGGGCAGCUACCUGGUGACAGGGUGCAAAUCUCGAAAGCCGGUCCUAGUUCGGAUUGGAGUCUGCAACUCGACUUCAUGAAGCUGGAAUCGCUAGUAAUCGCGCAUCAGCCAUGGCGCGGUGAAUACGUUCCCGGGCAUUGUACACACCGCCCGUCAAGCCAUGGAAGCCGGGGGUACACUGAAGUCUGCAACCGC